CGGCGUGCUUGACACACGCAAGUCGAGCGGUAAGGCCCUUCGGGGUACACGAGCGGCGAACGGGUGAGCAACACGUGGGUGAUGCNCCUUGCACUUCGGGAUAGGCCUGGGAAAGUAGGUGUGAACAGGAUAAAAACACUGAUCGCAUGGUCGGGGGUGAAAAGAUUUAUCGUUGGAGAUGGGCCCGCGGCCUAUCAGCUUGUUGGUGAGGUAACGGCUCACCAAGGCGACGACGGGUAGCCGACCUAAAAGGGUGACCGGCCACACUGGGAAUGAGACACGGCCCAGACUCAUACGGGAGGCAGCAGUGGGGAAUAGUUGCACAAUGGGCGAAAAGCCUGAUGCAGCGACGCCGCGUGCGGGAUGACGGCCUUCGGGUUUGUAAACCGCUUUUGACAGGGACGAAGCGCAAGUGACUGUACCUGUAGAAUAAGGACCGGCCAACUACGUGCCAGCAGCCGCGGUAAUACGUAGGGUCCGAGCGUUGUCCGGAAUUACUGGGCGUAAAGAGCUUGUAGGCGGUUCGUCGCGUCGUUUGUGAAAACUUGGGGCUCAACCUUAAGCUUGCAGGCGAUACGGGCGGACUAGAGUACUUCAGGGGAGACUGGAAUUCCUGGUGUAGCGGUGAAAUGCGCAGAUAUCAGGAGGAACACCGGUGGCGAAGGCGGGUCUCUGGGAAGUAACUGACGCUGAGAAGCGAAAGCAUGGGUAGCAAACAGGAUUAGAUACCCUGGUAGUCCAUGCCGUAAACGGUGGGUACUAGGUGUGGGGCUCCUUCCACGGACUCCGUGCCGUAGCUAACGCAUUAAGUACCCCGCCUGGGGAGUACGGCCGCAAGGCUAAAAACUCAAAGAAAUUGACGGGGGCCCGCACAAGCGGCGGAGCAUGUGGAUUAAUUCGAUGCAAACGCGAAGAACCUUACCUGGGUUUGACAUACACCGGAAACCUGCAGAGAUGUAGGCCCCCUUGUGGUCGGUGUACAGGUGGUGCAUGGCUGUCGUCAGCUCGUGUCGUGAGAUGUUGGGUUAAGUCCCGCAACGAGCGCAACCCUUAUCUUAUGUUGCCAGCGCGUAAUGGCGGGGACUCGUGAGAGACUGCCGGGGUCAACUCGGAGGAAGGUGGGGACGACGUCAAGUCAUCAUGCCCCUUAUGUCCAGGGCUUCACACAUGCUACAAUGGCCGGUACAGAGGGCUGCGAUACCGUGAGGUGGAGCGAAUCCCUUAAAGCCGGUCUCAGUUCGGAUCGGGGUCUGCAACUCGACCCCGUGAAGUUGGAGUCGCUAGUAAUCGCAGAUCAGCAACGCUGCGGUGAAUACGUUCCCGGGCCUUGUACACACCGCCCGUCACGUCAUGAAAGUCGGGUAACACCCGAAGCCGGUGGCCUAACCCCUUGUGGGAGGGAGCCGUCGAAAAG
rnacentral:rRNA from 1 species